CAGAAACAGGCAGGCAUAAAAUUCAUUACUGAAAAAAAAAGCUAGCACACCACAUCCGCGCACACUAUCACUCUCCAGAAUGUUUCCCACUCAUGCAGCCAAGAGACAUAGAAUAUAAUGGGUGGAUCAUCUGAGACCUCCUGUAGAGAAAAAUGCCAGCACACAGCAGAUGGGAGGAAAAGAGGCUGUGAAGGCGGCCACAGAGUCCAAAGUUGGGAGAGGGGAGUGGAGAAGGAGUCUAGAGAGUGGAACAAAACUCUGGGUGAAGAAGUCAUGCCUGUGGGUUUGCUGGGGACAUGGACACAAGCAGGCCCCUGAAAAAAGCUGGGAGCUCAGUUCAGGGUCUGUUUCUAUAGGACAGUAUUGUCUCACCUAAAACUCUUUCAAAAAAUUGCUUUCAUGGAACAUAGAGAAGGGAAAUUGUAUACUGUGUACACCUCAGGAAAUUAAAAA